ensembl:lincRNA
AUGCUCUGUGCACGGCUGGUGUUUAGCUGGACUAAAGUUGAUGUCUGUAAACCUCAGCAUCUCGGCGAGAGCUCGUGCGGGGGCCGGGGGGCAGGGUGGGGGUGCUGUGCUUGUGCAGUGCGUUUGCAUCCAGCCUGUCUUAUUGUAAAGCCAAAUCCAGUUAUUAAAAUUCUCAAAACUUCUCUUCCCGCAGCUCAAGUUCAGGGAUUAUCAGCUACACGGAGAGCUGCCCAGCUUAACUCUGUGAACAAGGUCCAGCACCAGCCAAGAGAAGGGCCAAGUGAAGUGUCCGUGCCAGGUCCCAUCCCUGCCCCUGACAGCCAGGGCCCCCGGCUGACCCCACCACGGUGGGGCGAGCUCUCCGCAGCCAGGAUAUUAGCAAGCAUGGUUGUGGCAAUUCUGCAGAAGUUCUGUUCAAACAGUGAAAGUGCACCGGGGUUCAGUUUAAUCAUGAACUCAUCCUACGGUUCCGGCACUGUUCUAAGUGGGUCGGAAGGCAAACAUUUGCUUUCAUUUGUCAGCAUAUUUUAGAAAUGCCGAUAACCCUCAUCUUGGAGUUGUUGAAGAGACUGUCCUGGCUUUGCAGUCCCACCAGAACCAAGAUCUUACCUUUUUCGCUGCCCUAGAACCAAAGCGGGGGAAUGUUACAGACCUCGGCAUGCUGCAAGAACAGAACUAACCCAUCUGCGAUCACUGCAAGCCGGUCACUUUGAGCUUGGCAUGUGCUGCUUACGUAACUUGAAGCGGAGCUGACGGUGUCAUACCUGCCUGGGGAGGAAGGGUUUCUGAGACUUUGGCAUUGUGUCCUCCAGGGACCCCUUUCCCAUCUGCGGUCACAGGGACUGCUCCUGGGACAGGCAUUGGCAGGCGCUGUGCUGCUGCCCCUCCAUGCCAGAUCGGCAAGUCUGUGCAAAGGUUGUAGAACCAGGUGGCUCCCUGAGUGUGGGAGCCUCCGUGACAUCAGACUGUCUGGUAGCAGUUUGUUUUGUCUAUUACUGAUGAUAUUAUUUGACCCCCAGUUACCCCCUCUCCAAAAAUAAAGUACUUUACUAGAAGCUUUUACGUCUUCAAUAGAUUUGCGUAUUUGGCUUCCAUCAUGCUUUCCCAUAAAAUAUAGUUUAUGGUUUUAUAUUUUAUUUUUAACUGAAAUAUUGUGCAUAUGUAAAUAACUCUUGACAGGAAGAAAAUAUAUUAAUGUAAGAUUAGUCUCCUAUCAGUGAAUAGAACAAAUACAUCAUUUAAAUUUAUGUUCUACUUGGAGUUGCUGCAAAUAUAGCCCCAUUUAUUUUUACUUGUGAAAGAUGUGAUAGUUAAAGAAAUCUACUAAAGCAUGAUUUAUAGCACUCUUUCUAAUAUUGUACUUUUGUUAUAAAUUGUACACUGACCUUUUUCUCAGGCACUCACGCCUCCCCUUCUUGCAGGAACCUUUUCCAUAAAGAGAUAUAUUGGCCUUUGAUAGAGACAUAAAGUAGAAAGAUUUUCAUUCUUACAUGGCUAUAUUAUCAUUUGUUUAAGAGAUGGGAGGGAAAUUGAUCACUGGGAUGCAUGGAUUUGAACUUUAUAUCUGAUGCUUUAGAAUCUUAAAAAUAGGAAAGCACAGUUCUGAUCAAUCUAUAUAGUUGGCCACAAACACCAGUGAUGUAGGGACUUAAGUUAUGAUCACUUCAAAUCUGAGUACAUAGGACUUAAGAGUUUGUGCUUUUAAAAUCUAGACCAAGAGAAAGAUGCUCUAGAAUUUAGAAGGUUUUUGAUUAAUUAAUAACUCAAGGUUCUAGAAACAUCUGAUUAUAUUUUGCAUGCAUGUAUGCUGAUGUUUUCUUUUUUCUAUUUUUAUCUUCUCAAAGGCCAACAGGAGGGUAGGAAGGAGCAGCCUGUUUGGGGUCCAAGAGCGGGCUGCAAAGGGCACAUGAGUUAUUUCCAUUCUUCCCUGGGAUUUUUUUCUUAUCUUUCUUUUCUUUUUUAUUAAAUAAAAUUUCUUGAGCUAAUAUUGAGUUUCCUGGUAUACAGGAUACUUUCCCUUCCCCCAAAUUCCACCGGGCUGACUCUAAAAAGUAAGGAAGGAAUCUAUACCGUGCCAAAGAAAAAAAGGCACAUGUAUGAGAAUUUCAAAUUGUAUUAAUAACCCAGGAGAUAGCAUUUUGGCAACUUCAGGAAAGAGUGAUGUAAUACAUUGGCGACUACAUAUUAAGAGAAAAAAAAAUUAUCUCGUAUUCAGUGCUUGGUUAGAGUAAAUAUGGAGCUGUUGUUUUGCUUCGGUAACAAGCAAAUUUUAAUUUUUUUAUUGCUUAAAAAUUGAGAUUGUCGUGUUGUUGAAAUCUGUUGAUCCAGCAGCAAUGUAGAAUUAUUCAGCUGGAAUCUUGUAUUCUGUGCAGAGCUUCACUUUCCAUUAAAGAAAAGAAAUACAGUUCGUGUUGUGAUGGGUAGGAUUUGCCUGCUGAAUCAUCUAUGAGACUGGUCAAGACUGUUUGGUGAAUAACCUAACCUUUAAAUUUUCAGUUUAUAAAUGUUAAAAUUUUCUAUAGUUUUAUAUGAAUGCCUUUCCAGUGAAAAGAUUUCUUUUUUUAAUGACUGUCACUUCUCUGCAAAAAGUAUGUUUAAAGCUCACAUUUUAUUUUUCUUUUGUAACAACUGAGAUUUUUUUCUAAGAUUGUUCAUGUUUCCCUUGCUGUUCUCUCCUGUAGGUUUCUCAACAGUUUAGGUCUUUACAUGUUAGUUCAUAGAUGCAGCGUUGAGUGUCUGUGAUCUGACUGGCACUCAGCCUCCUCUGGCAGUAUAACGGAAAAGCACAAGCUGGUUUCUCACCAACAGGGCUGCUUUGAAAAGCAUCUCAGCGACAGAACUGUCUCACACCGUCCCUAAGUGGACGUGUCCUUCACUGUCCUUCUCAUUGUGUUUUCUUUGGCCCUUUCUCACUCCAAGAAUCCCAGAGCGUUUUCAGCACUGAUGGAUUUCAGUGCAGAUUUGCAAAUUUGGGGGAAGGUCCAUCUCCCACUUCCAGGGUAGCCCAGUAUCUUUUAUUUCCCCCCACCCCUCACUGUCAGGUUGGGUCCAGAUCUGCUUGAAAGGAGUCAUAUUUCUGCAAUGUAGCCUUUUUCAUUCAUGCUCGAAAUGCGAUUUUAAAGCAUGACUAAAGACUGCACUUUACAACUCUCCAUAGACGAUGCACGCAGAGAUGAUUUAGAGCGUUAUUCAGGCAUAAUUCCUACAGGUAGUUGGCCCCGAAUUGUGCAAUGAGUGUAUUUUAAACAGACGAGGAGAAGAGGCCACAGUUUUCCCGCUUAAAGGACCUGACGUUCAGCUGGGAAGGGGAGCUGGGGGUGUGGUGCGAGGGCGCAUGCCUCGUGGCGAUGCCUCUGUAUUGAUCUCAGUAAAUCUCCCCACUGUUUUAGAAGCGCCGGUGCCCAUUCCCCUUAUUCAAGAAGCUGCACCAGGUCCACGUGAAGCCCGCUUUGGUUAACUGCAGCCCAUCGGCCCACGGCGGGGAGGUGGGGUCACCU